rnacentral:rRNA from 1 species
AUGCUUCUCCUAAAGACUAAGCCAUGCAUGUCUUCGAAUAAGAGGAGGCAAUUCUCUCUGAAUCUGCGAACGGCUCCGCAAACCAGUUGUAAACUAUAGCAAGCAAGCCUGAGUUCCCCUUCACGGGGGGAUUUGGGCAACACGGAUAACCCUGGUAAUUCUGAGGCUAAUACGAGAACGCAAUCCCUGAGCGACCGGGCAACUGGAAGCUUGGGAGGCGUGCAAGUUGUGUCGCGAGAGAUCGCCGGGAAUGGGAU